GAUGAACGCUAGCUACAGGCUUAACACAUGCAAGUCGAGGGGAAACGACAUCGAAAGCUUGCUUUUGAUGGGCGUCGACCGGCGCACGGGUGAGUAACGCGUAUCCAACCUGCCCAUCACUUGGGAAUAACCUUGCGAAAGUAAGACUAAUACCCAAUGAUAUCCCACGAAGGCAUCGGAAUGGGAUUAAAGAUUUAUCGGUGAUGGAUGGGGAUGCGUCUGAUUAGCUUGUUGGCGGGGUAACGGCCCACCAAGGCAACGAUCAGUAGGGGUUCUGAGAGGAAGGUCCCCCACAUUGGAACUGAGACACGGUCCAAACUCGUACGGGAGGCAGCAGUGAGGAAUAUUGGUCAAUGGGCGAGAGCCUGAACCAGCCAAGUAGCGUGCAGGAAGACGGCGCUAUGGGUUGUAAACUGCUUUUAUAAGGGAAUAAAGUGGGUCACGUGUGACUUUUUGCAUGUACCUUAUGAAUAAGGACCGGCUAAUUACGUG
rnacentral:rRNA from 1 species